rnacentral:snoRNA from 1 species
ACCAAUGUUGUCAAUGAUGCAUUCAUCCGGAACUGAAUUUAAGUGAUCUAACUCAAAUUCGUUAAAAAAAAAAAAAAAAAGAAUUGUGCUGGUAUGAACAUAGGU